UACGUAGGGUGCGAGCGUUGUCCGGAAUUAUUGGGCGUAAAGAGCUUGUAGGCGGUUUGUCGCGUCUGCUGUGAAAAUCCGGGGCUCAACCCCGGACUUGCAGUGGGUACGGGCAGACUAGAGUGUGGUAGGGGAGACUGGAAUUCCUGGUGUAGCGGUGAAAUGCGCAGAUAUCAGGAGGAACACCGGUGGCGAAGAGAGUCUCUGGGCAGUAACUGACGCUGAGGAGCGAAAGCGUGGGGAGCGAACAGG
rnacentral:rRNA from 1 species